UGAGGGUGUGAGGUGGCGUUCAAAGGUUGUCAAGGGGUUGUGAGGAGCUAUAGGGCUCAAGUUCGAGGUUGAAGAUUAGAAACUGAAGGUUGAAGAUCAGAUUUGGGAUUAGAUGAGUCGCUGGUACAACUGACGUCGUCGUGGUGUAGGUCAGAUGAGUCGUCGGAGUCCAGGCCAAGUAACAGUGUCGCUGGAGUUUCGGGAAGCUAACGAUGUCAUCAAUUCGAGUGCAGGUGAUGUGCCGAUUAUUGAUUUUGGAUCAAUUACUAACUGUUUGCCAUUUUCUUUCUAGAAAAUCAAUGUAGUGUCUGCUUCUUAAUCUUGUUCUCUAUGAGUACCAUUGUUACCGUCUCUGGUAAAAACAUCUAACCAUAUGCCAGAUUCGUUGAUUCAGGCUACAAAAGUACCUGUUAAAGAGUAUGAGUUUGAUGAAAAGAAGAUGGCAAAUGUGCAGUCUCAUCUGGAAAAAUUGGUUGCCAAUAACUAUUACUUGAACAGGUCUCCAAAAGAUGCGUACAGAUAAAUAUAUUAUUCAUGAAGUGAAGGCAAGAAUAGUUGAAUGGACAAGGGCAGGCUGGUCAAGACUGGAAGCUUUACACAUUCAUAUCCAUUUUGUUGAAGAUCUGAUACCCCUCUUAUCUACAGAGCAGUUCCCAUGAUGAGCAGUUGCUUGAAGCAGCUUGGUGUCUUACAAACAUAGCUGCUGGAAAACCUAAAGAAACAAGAGCUUAAUUGCCUGCAUUACCUUUACUCAUUGCUCAAAUUGGAGGAGAAGGUGAAGAACCGAGACAAAUUCUGAUUUCUCAAGGGGCAUUACUUCCUCUUGCAAAAAUGAUGUUGCCAAAUAAAGUUUCGGUUAACGGGUGAACCAAGUUUCUCUGAAAUGGCGACAGCAUUGUCAGGGCCUCCUUAUAUCUUUGUUUCUACUCCAGCUUGUGUCCAAAGAUGUCUUUCAUCAGGUGUUCUUCAAGCAAAAUCCGUUCAUGAUUAUCUUUCAAUUAUUAUUCUUGAUAAGGUAUGGAUUCUUUUCUUUCUGUAACAUUUAUAAUACUCUUUAUUAAAGUACUGAUUCAUGUUAGUAAAUCAGGCAGAUCUUCUUUUUACAUAUGGAUAUGAAAAGAAUCUCAAAGAUCUCAAAACUCACAUUCCUAAAAGAUGUCAAUGCCUUCUCAUGGCUGCUACCUCAAGCUUGAAGAAGCUUUAUCUACACAAUCCAUAUAUUCUUACUUUAGCAGAAGUUGGUGAUGGAAAGGACGAAAUUGUCCCCAAAAAUGUUCAGCAAUUUUGGUUUGGUAUAAAAUCUGCUGUGUUAAAUGCUGAAUUGCCUGUGAAUUGACGUCUACAUAUUCUUGAGAAAACAAAUUUCCUGGGCGGGAAAGAAGCAGACAUACUUGCUGGUAAGAUGAGUAUGGUACAGUUGCAAGGGCGGGACCAGUUGCUGACAGCACAAAAUGAAAUGCUCAAGGUACUCUACUCUACUGCUUCAUCAUAUAUGUCUGCAAGUUUGGUUGGCAGUUUCCCUUAUUACAGAUGCGUUGGCUGCAUCUGGUCAGGCGUUGAUUGCUAGUUCGGUUUCAAAAGGGAAUUAUAGAUCUGUGAAGGAUAUCACAUACUUCGUGUUGACUGUAAUGUUAAUUAAUAAUUAUUUUGUUUAUAUAAUAUAUAAAGAUGUUUUUAUUUUAUAAAAGUUAAUUAAUGUUUUAUUAUUUUCUUUAGAUUGGUUUUGUGAUGGGUGUUACUUUGGCUGCAAUAUUAGGAGUUUCAUUUGGUUCCAUAGUCACACUGUUCACUA